GGACAAGUCCUGUACGACCAGCUCCCACUGAACCCCCCAGGGCAGGAAUGCAGCAAGGGUAGGUGGUUGUAGCGGUGCGCUGCGGGUCGCUUGUCCCA
rnacentral:SRP_RNA from 1 species